rnacentral:rRNA from 1 species
GACGAACGCUGGCGGCGUGCUUAACACAUGCAAGUCGAACGGAAAGGCCCUGCUUGCAGGGUACUCGAGUGGCGAACGGGUGAGUAACACGUGGGUGAUCUGCCCUGCACUUCGGGAUAAGCCUGGGAAACUGGGUCUAAUACCGGAUAGGAGCCAUUUUUAGUGUGAUGGUUGGAAAGUUUUUUCGGUGUAGGAUGAGCUCGCGGCCUAUCAGCUUGUUGGUGGGGUAAUGGCCUACCAAGGCGGCGACGGGUAGCCGGCCUGAGAGGGGGGACGGCCACAUUGGGACUGAGAGACGGCCCAGACUCCUACGGGAGGCAGCAGUGGGGAAUAUUGCACAAUGGGCGCAAGCCUGAUGCAGCGACGCCGCGUGGGGGAUGACGGCCUUCGGGUUGUAAACUCCUUUCGCUAGGGACGAAGCUUUGUGUGACGGUACCUAGAGAAGAAGCACCGGCUAACUACGUG